rnacentral:rRNA from 1 species
UACGGAGGGUGCAAGCGUUAUCCGGAUUCACUGGGUUUAAAGGGUGCGUAGGUGGGCUAGUAAGUCAGUGGUGAAAUCUCCGGGCUUAACCCGGAAACUGCCAUUGAUACUAUUAGUCUUGAAUACCAUGGAGGUGAGCGGAAUAUGUCAUGUAGCGGUGAAAUGCGCAGAUAUCAGGAAGAACACCCGUGGCUAAGGCGGCUCUCUAGUACGGUACUGACGCUGAGACGCGAAAGCGUGGGGAGCGAACAGG